GACGAACCGUCCAAACGUUAUUCGGAAUCACUGGGCUUAAAGGGUGCGUAGGCGGCUCUGAAAGUUGGGUGUGAAAGCCCUCGGCUCAACCGAGGAAUUGCGCCCAAAACUACAGAGCUAGAGGAAGACAGAGGUGAGCGGAACUUAGGGUGGAGCGGUGAUAUGCGUUGAGAUCCUAAGGAACACCAGUAGCGAAAGCGGCUCACUGGGUCUUUUCUGACGCUGAGUGCACGAAAGCUAGGGGAGCGAAGAGGAUUAGAUAC
rnacentral:rRNA from 1 species